CCGGGGAGCCCUCCGUGGGCGUUUCCUCCCUGAGACUGGCCCGCGCUGGCAACGGCGCGGGCCUUUUUUUAUCGUUCG
rnacentral:sRNA from 1 species